CGGAGGACAAGAAACUAAACAGGAUCCCCAUAGUAAUGGCGAAUGAACCGGGAUAAACUCAGCAUGGAAAUUGGGGCCUUUGGCUUUGACUUGUAAUCUGGUGAGGCAUUGCCAACAGAGGCGCAUAUGUAAGUCUCUUGGAAAAGAGCAUCAACGAAGGUGAGAGUCCUGAUUGUCAUGUGCAGCCCCCCUGUGCACGGUGUGCCUUCUAAGAGUCACGUUCCUUGGGAUUGGAGCGCAAAUUGGGUGGUAACUUUCAUCUGAAGUUAAACAAUGGUUUGGGGCCGAUAGGAAACAAGUACCAUGAGGGAAAGGUGAAAAGGACUUUGGAAAGAGAGUUAAAAGUGCCUGAAAUUGCUGAAGGGGAAGCGAAUGGAACCAGUGGUGCUGGGUGAGAUUGUCACAUGCUGCAAGGAUUGGUUGCUGCCACAACGCAAGUGUGCUGGCAAUUUGUGAACUGCUAGUGUGUGGUGUGUCUUUGUUGUUAUGCUUGUGCGUAAGCUUUAGUGUUGUCUGGCUGCAGGGCUGUCCAUCCUCAAGCUUUGCGUGUGGUUGCGAUGAGCAUAACCUUCUGCACAGAUCUUGACGAAAUGGUUUCAUUCGAUCCGUCUUGAAACACGGACCAAGG
rnacentral:rRNA from 1 species